UCAAGAAACUUCCACAAUGGGCGAAAGCCUGAUGGAGCGACGUCGCGUGAUGGACGAAGUGCUUCGGCACGUAAACAUCUUUUAUGUGGGAUGAAAUUAUUGACAGUACCACAUGAAUAAGGGGCUCCUAACUCUGUGCCAGCAGGAGCGGUAAUACAGAGGCCCCAAGCGUUAUCCGGAAUCACUGGGCGUAAAGGGUGUCGAGGCGGUUGUAUUAGUCGUUCGUAAAAUCUACGAGCUUAACUUGUAGGCGGCGAACGAAACGGUACGACUUGAGGUUUGGAGAGGUGCGUGGAACUCACGGUGUAGGGGUGAAAUCCGUUGAUAUCGUGGGGAACACCAAAGGCGAAGGCAGCGCACUGGCCAAAAUCUGACGCUCACACACGAAAGCUAGGGUAGCGAAGAGGAUUAGAUACCCAUGUAGUCC
rnacentral:rRNA from 1 species